rnacentral:rRNA from 1 species
AGAAUCAACGCUGGCGGCGUGCCUAACACAUGCAAGUCGCACGAGAAAGGGUAGCAAUACCUGAGUAAAGUGGCGCACGGGUGAGUAACACGUGAAUAAUCUACCUCCGAGUGGGGAAUAACUGAGAGAAAUCUUAGCUAAUACCGCAUAACACUUACGAGUCAAAGCAGUAAUGCGCUUGGAGAGGAGUUCGCGGCAGAUUAGCUAGUUGGCGGGGUAAUGGCCCACCAAGGCGAUGAUCUGUAUCCGGCCUGAGAGGGCGCACGGACACACUGGAACUGAAACACGGUCCAGACUCCUACGGGAGGCAGCAGUGGGGAAUUUUGCGCAAUGGGGGAAACCCUGACGCAGCAACGCCGCGUGGAGGAUGAAAUCCCUUGGGAUGUAAACUCCUUUCGAUAGGGAAGAUAAUGACGGUACCUAUAGAAGAAGCCCGGCUAACUUCGUGCCAGCAGCCGC